AUAAAGUGCAACUCUGCUGUGUAGAAGAGUAAUUGACUUGUAUUUUCUGGUAUUUUCUCUAUACAGAAAUUAGUUCAAACUAUUUCCAAGAUGUUCAAAAAUUGGAUGUGGCUGCAUGAAACAGGUUAAAAAGUUUGAUAUGGUAGGGACUGACUAUGGAAUGGCAAUGUGAGGAGUGUGGCAGACAGACCCUCUCCCCAGGGUUCUAUGAUCACACUCUGACUGAUACAAGAUGAAACAAUCUACAAAGGAAGUAAAGGAAUGCCGAAUACAAUAUCCCUACCUCCUUCACGGUUUUACUUACUACAGUACUGUGGUCAACUGCAAUUCGAAUAUAUUACACAGAAAAUUCCAGAAAUAAACUAUUCAUAAUGUUUAAA